UGCAAGUCGAGCGGACAGAUGGGAGCUUGCUCCCUGAUGUUAGCGGCGGACGGGUGAGUAACACGUGGGUAACCUGCCUGUAAGACUGGGAUAACUCCGGGAAACCGGGGCUAAUACCGGAUGGUUGUUUGAACCGCAUGGUUCAAACAUAAAAGGUGGCUUCGGCUACCACUUACAGAUGGACCCGCGGCGCAUUAGCUAGUUGGUGAGGUAACGGCUCACCAAGGCAACGAUGCGUAGCCGACCUGAGAGGGUGAUCGGCCACACUGGGACUGAGACACGGCCCAGACUCCUACGGGAGGCAGCAGUAGGGAAUCUUCCGCAAUGGACGAAAGUCUGACGGAGCAACGCCGCGUGAGUGAUGAAGGUUUUCGGAUCGUAAAGCUCUGUUGUUAGGGAAGAACAAGUACCGUUCGAAUGGGCGGUACCUUGACGGUACCUAACCAGAAAGCCACGGCUAACUACGUGCCAGCAGCCGCGGUAAUACGUAGGUGGCAAGCGUUGUCCGGAAUUAUUGGGCGUAAAGGGCUCGCAGGCGGUUUCUUAAGUCUGAUGUGAAAGCCCCCGGCUCAACCGGGGAGGGUCAUUGGAAACUGGGGAACUUGAGUGCAGAAGAGGAGAGUGGAAUUCCACGUGUAGCGGUGAAAUGCGUAGAGAUGUGGAGGAACACCAGUGGCGAAGGCGACUCUCUGGUCUGUAACUGACGCUGAGGAGCGAAAGCGUGGGGAGCGAACAGGAUUAGAUACCCUGGUAGUCCACGCCGUAAACGAUGAGUGCUAAGUGUUAGGGGGUUUCCGCCCCUUAGUGCUGCAGCUAACGCAUUAAGCACUCCG
rnacentral:rRNA from 1 species